rnacentral:rRNA from 1 species
AUUGAACGCUGGCGGCAUGCCUUACACAUGCAAGUCGAACGGUAACGCGGGGCAACCUGGCGACGAGUGGCGAACGGGUGAGUAAUGCAUCGGAACGUGCCCAGUAGUGGGGGAUAGCCCGGCGAAAGCCGGAUUAAUACCGCAUACGACCUACGGGUGAAAGGGGGGGAUCGCAAGACCUCUCGCUAUUGGAGCGGCCGAUGUCAGAUUAGCUAGUUGGUGGGGUAAAAGCCUACCAAGGCGACGAUCUGUAGCUGGUCUGAGAGGACGACCAGCCACACUGGGACUGAGACACGGCCCAGACUCCUACGGGAGGCAGCAGUGGGGAAUUUUGGACAAUGGGCGAAAGCCUGAUCCAGCCAUGCCGCGUGCGGGAAGAAGGCCUUCGGGUUGUAAACCGCUUUUGUCAGGGAAGAAAUCUUCUGGGUUAAUACCUCGGGAGGAUGACGGUACCUGAAGAAUAAGCACCGGCUAACUACGUGCCAGCAGCCGCCGUAA